rnacentral:lncRNA from 1 species
GAGAUGAAAUGACAAAAUUGAAAAGAAAUUGAAAGGAGAUGAGAUGAGUUAAAAUGAGAUGAAAUGAUGAGAUGAUGGAUGAAAUGAUGAGAUAAAACGAGCCAUGAAAUGAUGAGAUGAAAUGAAAUGAAAUAAUGAAAUGAUAUGAAAUAAUGAGAUUGAAAUGAGAUGAGAUGAGAUGAAAUGAGAUAAAAUGAUGAGAUGAAAUGAGAUGAAUGAUGAGAUGAAAUGAUGAGAUGAAAUGAGAUGAAAAAUGAUGAGACAAAAAAUGAGAUUAAAUGAAAUGAAAUAAUGAAAGGAAAUUAUGAAAUGUAAUGAUGAAAUUGAAAUGAAAUUGAAAUGAGAUGAGUUGAAAUGAUGAGAUGUAAUGAUGAAAUGAAAUGAUGAAAUGAGAUGA